rnacentral:rRNA from 1 species
GACGAACCGUACGAACGUUAUUCGGAAUCACUGGGCUUAAAGGGUGCGUAGGCUGCGCAGCAAGUUGGGUGUGAAAUCCCUCGGCUUAACCGAGGAACUGCGCCCAAAACUGCUGUGCUCGAGGGAGAUGGAGGUGAGCGGAACUUAGGGUGGAGCGGUGAAAUGCGUUGAUAUCCUAAGGAACACCGGUGGCGAAAGCGGCUCACUGGAUCUCUUCUGACGCUGAGGCACGAAAGCUAGGGUAGCGAACGGG